CAUUGACAGACGAGCGAAAUUAAAACGCGUUUAACCGCCCCAUUUUUAUUCAAAUAAAAAAUGUUAACAUGUUUUUACCCACAGCGUGCGCCACUUUGCGAAUGUCCGCGUGUGGAAUUGUCAGUUCAAUGAGAUAUUUUCAAUUGAGUCGGCGAUUUUUUGGAUUUACUCAGACGUUUAAAUCGAAAUCAAUGAAGAUUGCGGUACUCGGUGCUGGAGGAAGAACUGGCACCACUCUCUCAUUUUUCCUCAAGCAUUGCUCUCUGAUUGACGAACUGGCGAUCUAUGAUGUGACACCUGUGUGUCAUGUGGCCUUGGAGUUGAAUCAUAUUGACACCAAGUGCAGGGUUGCUGCUGGUGUACCUGGGGAUGAGGGUUUGAAAUCCGUUCUUCAGGAUUCGAAGAUCGUGGUGAUCACUGCGGGGCUGCAGUCACCGGAUGGCAGCAAUCAGAAUGACAUUCUCACGACAAAUGCCCAGAUUUUGGCAUACUACGUGUUGAACGUCAUCAAGCACUCGCCGAGGGCCAUUGUGGCAGUUGCCACGAGCCCGAUAAACCAACUCAUCCCGAUGGCUGGCGAAUUGUACAAGAGAUACGGAAUCUUUGAUUACAAUCGUUUAUUCGGAAUUACGACACUGGACUGCGUACGUGCGAAUACCUUUGCUGCUGAGAUUCUGGGGUUGGAACCUGAGUGUCUCGUUGUACCUGUCAUUGGUGGCUCCUGCCCAAGGACACGUAUACCACUGUUCUCACAGACACAGCCCUGCAAUGAAUUUACCAAUGAAGAAAUUAGCAAGCUCACUUAUGCUGUUAGAAUGGCUGAGGAGGAGGUGACCAAGGAGUACAAUGGAAUGGAGAAGGCGUCCGUGGCAAUGGGAUUCGCUGCUGCUAGGUUCUGCAUGUCUCUGUGCAAAGGCCUUCAAGAUCAGCGUGGCGUCGUGGAAUGUGCAUAUGUGCGUUCCUGUGUGCUACCGGAAGUGACGUACUUGACGGCGCCAGUUGAACUUGGCCCUGACGGAAUCCAGAGGCAUCUGGGCAUCCCUCCGUUGACGAAUUACGAGUGCAAAUUACUCGGAGAAGCAAUACCAAUUAUCAAGAACUCUAUCAGAAUCGGCGAGACACUCGCUCUCGGGCCACGUGUCACUUCCACGGAAAUAUGCCCCACAUAUCACGAUGACUGUGACCAAGAGAUUUCUCGUAAUCUUCGAAUAACCAGCGUGCGUCCCUCAUCAUGUUCACCAUCUUGAAUUACAAAUGACGAAAUCGGAGAACACUUUAAAUUUACGAAACUAAUGAUUCAAAAAAAGAUUAAACUUUUUCUGCUGGGUGGAGGUGAUUUUUCCAGUUUCUCAAAUGCCCGGAACUUCCUCACCAGGUGAAUUUAUCUCAGCCGGAACUUGCUCCAUGGAUGUCAAGGGCUCCAAUGUAUCACCGGGACUUCUCGAGGAACUCCGGCGCCUCUCUGAGGUCAAUCUCUCCAUUCAACCCAUUA